CGCGUAGGCGGUUUGUUAAGUCGGAUGUGAAAGCCCCGGGCUCAACCUGGGAAUUGCACCCGAUACUGGCCGACUAGAGUACGAGAGAGGGAGGUAGAAUUCCACGUGUAGCGGUGAAAUGCGUAGAUAUGUGGAGGAAUACCGGUGGCGAAGGCGGCCUCCUGGCUCGAUACUGACGCUGAGGUGCGAAAGCGUGGGGAGCAAACA
rnacentral:rRNA from 1 species